AUCGGGCGUAGAUGGUGCGGCCGGAGACGAGUCUUGCGGCGGGGGCGAGGGAUGGGGGGAUGCGCACCACGGCUUGGCAUUGAGAGGCUCUGCAAGCAACCGGUGAUUAUGAGGCGAGGCGGUGGAGCUGGGCAGUGGCGCCGGAGGUAGGCGGCAGUAGGCGGUUCUGCUUGGACGACGAGAUAGAUGCGGCGGAGAACGGCAGCCGGCAUCGAGAUCGGCCGGGGCAAGCUGCUGGCGAGGUGCAGUGGUGUGGUCACGGCCGUCCGCGUCGAGCUUCGACCGCCGCGGGGGCUGAGGGGAGUAGUGGUGCCGGAGGAGAGCAGCAGGGGAGGGGCGGCGCCAGCUAGGAGCCGGAGAACGGCGGCCGGCAUCGAGGUCGGCCGGGACAAGUUGUUGGCGAUGUGCAGCUGGUGUGGUCGCGGACGUCCGCGUCGAGCAUCGCAGGGCGGUGCGGCACGCGGGAAGUGAGGCGGUGGUGCAGGCGCGCGGGUGAGGAAGGCCUGCCCCGGUCGCCGAGGUGCCAUGGGCCCCACCGUCCCGGAAUCCCCCUCGAGGUCGAGCAGUCGAGUCCGAGGGCCAGGGGCGGGACGACGACCGCGAGCGCUUCCCCGCGCAGCCGCCGCCGCUUCCGCUAAUCGCUGCAACCUGCUUCUCUGUUGUUGCCAGUUUGUGGUCGUGUUCUUCUUCACUCUACAGGUACAGGGUGCUUUCGAUUGAAUUGAACAUUGGUUCUGUGUGAGUUAUUGUUUUCGGCCGCUCUGUGAUUACUGUGUUAAGAUUUAAUUUGGCUAUGCAUUGUUGACUGAUUGGUUUUUGUA